rnacentral:misc_RNA from 1 species
UACGAAGGCCUCAAGUGUUGUCCGGAUUAAUUGGGCGUAAAGCGCACGCAGGAGGUUUGGCGGGUCUUUCGGUUAAAUCCCAGGGCUCAACUCUGGAACUGCCGGGGAAACUACCAAACUAGAGGACGUUAGAGGAGAGCGGAACACAUGGUGUAGGGGUGAAAUCCGUUGAUAUCAUGUGGAACACCGAAGGCGAAGGCAGCUCUCUGGGGCGCUCCUGACUCUCAUGUGCGAAAGCGUGGGUAGCGAACGGG